rnacentral:rRNA from 1 species
AAUUAACGCUGGCGGCAUGCCUAACACAUGCAAGUCGCACGAGAAAGCCCGGUUCGCCGGGCGAGUACAGUGGCGCACGGGUGAGUAACGCGUGGAUAAUCUACCUCUAUCUGGGGGGAUAACCCACCGAAAGGUGGGCUAAUACCGCAUAUUCCGGCAGUCCUGCGGGAUGGUCGGCAAAGGUGGCCUCUUCUUGAAAGCUACCGGGUGGAGAUGAGUCCGCGUCCCAUUAGCUAGUUGGUAGGGUAACGGCCUACCAAGGCGACGAUGGGUAGCUGGUCUGAGAGGACGAUCAGCCACACUGGAACUGGAACACGGUCCAGACUCCUACGGGUGGCUG